GAGGCCCUUCCGCGAUUGCUUCUUGCUCCUCGCAUGACUGGGAUCCCUGUAAAAAUUCACGUGUUAAAUAAUCAGGUAGAGAAUUUGAUUCUCUUUUUAUAUAUUCAAUCUUAAAAUCAAAUACUGAUAAAAAUGCUUGCCAACGAGCAAAGACUUGUUUGGAGACAAGGUUUUUAACAUCUUUAUCUAUAAUUUCUUUUGCCGAUUUGCAAUCAAUUCUUAAUAGGAAUUCUUGAUUUAGUAAAUCCUCUUGAAAUUUAGAAAUACAUUUGAUAAUAGAGAGCAUUUCUGUUUUAAUAGUUGAAUAAUUUUUUUGCGUAUCAUUCCACUUCCCAGAAGUAAAUCUGACUAAUUCUUCUUUAUUUUUGUGAGGAUUUAUUUGUUUUAGAAUGCCUCCAUAUCCGAUAUUAGAAGCAUCUGUUUCUACUAUCUUUUUCCAAUUUUCAUUUGCUAAAGAAAGGCGUGCGAUCUUUUUUACUUUAAGCUUAAUUAGUUUUAUCGCUUUAGUUUGAUCUUGUCCCCAAGGAAGAAGGUUUUUCUUUAAACGAUCAUCAAGUGGAGCGCUAUCUAUAGCAANNNNNNNNNNNNNNNNNNNNNNNNNNNNNNNNNNNNNNNNNNNNNNNNNNNNNNNNNNNNNNNNNNNNNNNNNNNNNNNNNNNNNNNNNNNNNNNNNNNNGUGAGGACAUGUUGUCAUCAUCUUCCAACGAGAAAUCUGUUAACAGUUUUUUCUCGUUUUUGGAUUAGUUUAUUUAAUUCAUCAGGGGAAAUAAUUGGAUUUUCUCUUAAUAUUUUUUUCCGUAUAAUGGACCGUAGCAACUCAUCUUCGUUAUUAGCCUGGGUAUCCACCUCUAGAGACUUUAAUUUUUUAUUAUUGUCAUGCUCUGCUAGAGCAUCCAUAACUUCACCAAUGAUAUCUUUAGGGUCGAAUUUUUGGUUGGAAUCAUUCUUCCCCUUCCCAUCCCUCUGUAUGAGGCUCUUCCGCGAGUGCUUCUUGCUCCUCGCACGACUGGGAUCCCUGUAAAAACUCACGGGUUAAAUAAUCGGGUAGAGAAUUUGAUUCUCCUUUUAUAUAUUCAAUCUUAAAAUCAAAUACUGAUAAAAUUGCUUGCCAACGAGCAAAGACUUGUUUGGAGACAAGGUUUUUAAAAUCUUUAUCUAUAAUUUCUUUUGCCGAUUUGCAAUCAAUUCUUAAUAGGAGUUCUUGAUUUAGUAAAUCAUCUUGAAAUUAAGAAAUACAUUUGAUAGUAGAGAGCAUUUCUGUUUUAAUAGUUGAAUAAUUUUUUUGCGUAUCAUUCCACUUCCCAGAAGUAAAUCUGACUAAUUCUUCUUUAUUUUUGUGAGGAUUUAUUUGUUUUAGAAUGCCUCCAUAUCCGAUAUUAGAAGCAUCUGUUUCUACUAUCUUUUUCCAAUUUUCAUUUGCUAAAGAAAGGCAUGGGAUCUUUUUUACUUUAAGCUUAAUUAGUUUUACCGCUUUAGUAUGAUCUUGUCCCCAAGGAGGAGGGUUUUUCUUUAAACGAUCAUCAAGUGGAGCGCUAUCUAUAGCAAGAUCUUUAUAAAAGUCAGAAAUAUAAUUUAGACUUCCUAGAAAUCUUUGUAAUUGAGUUUUAUCUUUAAUUUCAUCAGGAAAAUUAUCUGCAAAGUUUAUAGACCUAUCAAUUGGAAGAUAUUUUCCUUUUCUACGAGAUGCAUGUCAUUAAAACACCUUACAUCAACCGAAUCCCAAUACCAUAGACUUUCAGAGACACUUGGGGUUACUAUUCUAGCCUACUACACACAUGGCUCUGAUACCAAAAUGCAUUAGGAUCGAAUUUCCCAAAAUAGAAAACCUGCUAAACAAAAGUGUUGUUUUUUUUAAUGUGUAUAUAUAUAUGAUUUAAUUCAAUGUAGACAGAUGAUUUAAAUAACUAAUACUUUAUUAACACAACAUAAACAUAGUACAUAAACGAUUACAAAAUUCAAAGAAAAGAAAACUUACAAUUUGGAUCCAUGAGUAUGAGAUCCUUACACACUUCUACGAUAUUGAAAACUUCUACAACUUCAGACACUUCAAACACACAGACAAUACAAAGGGAAUUUAAAGAGAGAUAUGAAAAUUUUCGGAUGCCUUCUUCAAAUGAGCAAGGCUCUAUUUAUAGGCAGUCUUCGGAAUUGAAACCCGGACUUCAGCAUCAAUUUUGUCUUGGAAAAUGGUUUUGUUUUCUUUUAAUAGAAAAAUCAUUUGGUUUUAUUAUCUCAGUCAGAUUCUCUGAAAAAUGACUGCAGAGAUUCCACUUAAUUUGCAGAGAUUCCAUCUUCUUUGGCUGGAUCCGAUUGUUUUAUUGGUUUUGUCUUUUUUCGUUCUUCUUGUUAGAUGCACCUUCUUUGGAGUGAAUACUUGCAGCUUCAUUCAUUAGUUGAUCAUCUUGUUCUUCUAAACUAAUACCAUCCAUAUCUUCAUUAUCGACAUAUCCUUGUGAGGACAUGUUGUCAUCAUCUUCCAACGAGAAAUCUGGUAACAUUUUUUCUCGUUUUUGGAUUAGUUUAUUUAGUUCAUCAGGGGAAAUAAUUGGAUUUUCUCUUAAUAUUUUUUUUUCCGUAUAAUGGACCGUAGCAACUCAUCUUCAUUAUUAGCCUGGGUAUCCACCUCAGUAGACUUUAAUUUUUGAUUAUUGUCAUGCUCUGUUAGAGCAUCCAUAACUUCACCAAUGAUAUCUUUAUGGUCGAAUUUUUGGUUGGAAUCAUUCUUCCCCUUCCCAUACCUCUGUAUGAGGCCCUUCCGCGAGUGCUUCUUGCUCCUCGCAUGACUGGGAUCCCUGUAAAAAUUGACGCGUUAAAUAACCGGGUAGAGAAUUUGAUUCUCCUUUUAUAUAUUCAAUCUUAAAAUCAAAUACUGAUAAAAUUGCUUACCAACGAGCAAAGACUUGUUUGGAGACAAGGUUUUUAACAUCUUUAUCUAUAAUUUCUUUUGCCGAUUUGCAAUCAAUUCUUAAUAGGAAUUCUUGAUUUAGUAAAUCCUCUUGAAAUUUAUAAAUACAUUUGAUAAUAGAGAGCAUUUCUAUUUUAAUAGUUGAAUAAUUUUUUUGCGUAUCAUUCCACUUCCCAGAAGUAAAUCUGACUAAUUCUUCUUUAUUUUUGUGAGGAUUUAUUUGUUUUAGAAUGCCUCCAUAUCCGAUAUUAGAAGCAUCUGUUUCUACUAUAUUUUCCCAAUUUUCAUUUGCUAAAGAAAGGCAUGGGAUCUUUUUUACUUUAAGCUAAAUUAAUUUUACCGCUUUAGUAUGAUCUUGUACCCAAGGAGGACGGUUUUUCUUUAAAUGAUCAUCAAGUGGAGCGCUAUCUAUAGCAAGAUCUUUAGAAAAGUCAGAAAUAUAAUUUAGACUUCCUAUAAAUCUUUGUAAUUNNNNNNNNNNNNNNNNNNNNNNNNNNNNNNNNNNNNNNNNNNNNNNNNNNNNNNNNNNNNNNNNNNNNNNNNNNNNNNNNNNNNNNNNNNNNNNNNNNNNUCUGAAAAAUGACUGCAGAGAUUCCACUUAAUUUGUAGAGAUUCCGUCUUCUUUGGCUGGAUCCGAUUGUUUUAUUGAUUUUGUCUUUUUUCGUUCUUCUUGUUAGAUGCAGCUUCUUUGGAGUGAAUACUUGCAGCUUCAUUCAUUAGUUGAUCAUCUUGUUCUUCUAAACUAAUACCAUCCAUAUAUUCAUUAUCGACAUAUCCUUGUGAGGACAUGUUGUCAUCAUCUUGCAACGAGAAAUCUGUUAACACUUUUUCCUCGUUUUUGGAUUAGUUUAUUUAAUUCAUCAGGGGAAAUAAUUGGAUUUUCUCUUAAUAUUUUUUCCGUAUAAUGGACCGUAGCAACUCAUCUUCAUUAUUAGCCUGGGUAUCCACCUCAAGAGACUUUAAUUUUUUAUUAUUGUCAUGCUCUGCUAGACCAUCCAUAACUUCACCAAUGAUAUCUUUAGGGUCGAAUUUUUGCCACCAUUUAACCCAAUAAGUUCUUCUCAAGGAGGGUAUAUUAGCAUAGUUUUGUCCAACAUGUAAUCUCCAGGCCCAUAUCCAUGGCACCUUAUAUUUUGAUACAAAUAAAAGCAAGGCUUUGUUUAACACUAAGGACAUAUCUUUUUCCUUUAUUUGGGGAUGAAUAUUACNGUAUGAGCCCUUUCCGCGGUGCUUCUUGCUCCUCGCAUGACUGGGAUCCCUGUAAAAACUCACGGGUUAAAUAAUCGGGUAGAGAAUUUGAUUCUCCUUUUAUAUAUUCAAUCUUAAAAUCCAAUACUGAUAAAAUUGCUUGCCAACGAGCAAAGACUUGUUCGGAGACAAGGUUUUUAACAUCUUUAUCUAUAAUUUCUUUUGCCAAUUUGCAAUCAAUUCUUAAUAGGAGUUCUUGAUUUAGUAAAUCCUCUUGAAAUUUAGAAAUACAUUUGAUAAUAGAGAGCAUUUCUUUUUUAAUAGUUGAAUAAUUUUUUUGCGUAUCAUUC
rnacentral:lncRNA from 1 species